AUUCAACGCUGGCGGCAUGGCUUACACAUGCAAGUCGAACGGCAGCACGGGUGCCUGCACCUGGUGGCGAGAGGCGAACGGGUGAGUAAUACAUCGGAACGUACCUUAUCGUGGGGGACAACGCAGCGAAAGCUGUGCUAAUAACGCAUACGCCCUGAGGGGGAAAGCGGGGGAUCGCAAGACCUCGCGCGAUUAGAGCGGCCGAUGCCUGAUUAGCUUGUUGGUGGGGUAAAAGCCCACCAAGGCGACGAUCAGUAGCUGGGCUGAGAGGACGAUCAGCCACACCGGGACUGUGACACGGCCCUGUGUCCUACGGGAGGCAGCAGUGGGGGAUUUUGGGCAAUGGGGGCAACCCUGAUCCAGCGAGUCCGCGUGAGUGAAGAAGGCCUUCGGGUUGUAAAGGUCUUUUGUCAGGGAAGAAACACCGGCUCUAACACAGUCCGUGAAUGACGGUACCUGAAGAAUAAGCACCGGCUAACUACGUGCCAGCCGCCGCAGUAA
rnacentral:rRNA from 1 species